rnacentral:rRNA from 1 species
ACAUUGGCGGCGUGCUACCAUGCAGUCGAACGAUGAACCCGAAGCUUGCUUUGGGGGAUUAGUGGCGAACGGGUGAGUAACACGUGAGCAACCUGCCCCUCACUCUGGGAUAAGCGCUGGAAACGGCGUCUAAUACUGGAUACGAGACGCGACCGCAUGGUCAGUGUCUGGAAAGAUUUUUUGGUGGGGGAUGGGCUCGCGGCCUAUCAGCUUGUUGGUGAGGUAAUGGCUCACCAAGGCGUCGACGGGUAGCCGGCCUGAGAGGGUGACCGGCCACACUGGGACUGAGACACGGCCCAGACUCCUACGGGAGGCAGCAGUGGGGAAUAUUGCACAAUGGGCGGAAGCCUGAUGCAGCAACGCCGCGUGAGGGAUGACGGCCUUCGGGUUGUAAACCUCUUUUAGCAGGGAAGAAGCGAAAGUGACGGUACCUGCAGAAAAAGCACCGGCUAACUACGUGCCAGCAGCGGCCGGUAAUA